GCCGACCCAGGCAAGGGAGCGGGAGUGGAUGACGAUGACCGGUUGGCAGACAAAACUCAAAGCCCCUUUGGAGGAGGAGACAAGCCUGGAACUGAGUCCUGCUGCCAUGUCCCAGCCCCAGGCAGAGGCCCUGCCCCUAGCUGUUCCUUAGCCCUGGAGCAAAGAGCAUCCACUGGCUCAGCAGCACGAAGGAAGCCAUUGGAAACCAACCGACCUGUCUGGACCCUCCACCCCAGGCCACCCUGGCCCUGCACUCUGCCCCCAGGGAGGGAGAAGAAGCCUCCGGCAUAAGGAGACCAGAAACUGGCUGAGGUCCCAGGUUGAAGUUGCCUUGAAGUUUGACUACUAAAGAAGAAAAAAGGUUUUCCUCUAUUUUGUUAACGCAAUCCAGAGUUUGAGCUGGGAUCAUAAAGAUUUCAAACAUCCUGGACAGGACUUCCUCAACUGGAUUGUUUUGGUAAAUACAAGUAUGAAACUGGAGGACACCAAUACAGGAGGAAAAGUCCCAGCUCUGGGCUGAGGUGAGCCAAGUGGUGGGUACCCCUAAGUGGCCCAAAUUUUAGGGGGUCCAGAAACCAAACCUCCCCCAGAUGUGGGGAGUGGCAUUAAACUGCUCACAUCUAUGUCUUGCCAAAUAAUAUAAAAUCAUAGCUAUCCUUUUCUCCCUUCAGAAAAGAAAGGAAAAAGGAUCAAGAAAAAACCCAUCUUUUUUGAAUUAAGGGAAUUUAACUUUGUGAAAAAGUAGCUAGAUUGUCCUCUGUUUUUCCCAUUUGGCUGCAUCUGGGUAAAAAUCCCCAUCACUUACCAGCUUUUGCAAAUCACCAGGCAGGCCCAAGGCUCAGGGGCUGGAUGCUAGAGCACGGGGCAGGGGCUGGGUAUUUCCCUGUGCCAAGGGGAGCAGACUCACAGCCCGGAUUUGUUAGCUACCGGAUCCUGCAGAAGGCCCCGGUGCCUCAGCUUCCCCAUCUGUGAAAUGGUAGUGGUCGCCGUGCACACCUGGUGGAGCAUGGAGACCUUGGGCCUGGCACACAGCACACACUCAUUCAG
rnacentral:lncRNA from 1 species